rnacentral:rRNA from 1 species
AGGACGAACGCUUGCGGCGUGCCUAAGAAAUGCAAGUCGAACGGGGGUUCAGCAAUGUUCCCUAGUGGCGAACGGUCGCGUAACACGUAGGCAACCUGCCCUGAAGUGGGGGACAACGGUCCGAAAGGACCGCUAAUACCGCAUGUGGUCGCUGGAAGGCAUCUUUCAGCGUCCAAAGCAUUUAUGCGCUUCAGGAUGGGCUUGCGGCCUAUCAGGUAGUUGGUGGGGUAACGGCCUACCAAGCCGACGACGGGUAGC